GAUCCUGCUCAGGACGAACGCUGGCGGCGUGCUUAACACAUGCAAAAGUCGAAACGAAGGUGCCUUCGGGCGCCUAGUGGCGAACGGGUGAGUAACACGUGAGCAACCUGCCCCUGGCUCUGGGAUAGCCUCCGGAAACGGGGAUUAAUACCGGACAGGACCUGCCCCCGCAUGGGGCGGGUGGAAAGUUUUUCGGCCGGGGAGGGGCUCGCGGCCUAUCAGCUUGUUCGGGGGGUGACGGCCCACCAAGGCGACGACGGGUAGCCGGCCUGAGAGGGCGACCGGCCACACUGGGACUGAGACACGGCCCAGACUCCUACGGGAGGCAGCAGUGGGGAAUAUUGCACAAUGGGCGCAAGCCUGAUGCAGCGACGCCGCGUGCGGGAUGAAGGCCUUCGGGUUGUAAACCGCUUUCAGCAGGGGCGAAUCUUGACGGUACCUGCAGAAGAAGCGCCGGCUAACUACGUGCCAGCAGCCGCGGUAA
rnacentral:rRNA from 1 species